CACGUAGGGUGCGAGCGUUGUCCGGAAUUAUUGGGCGUAAGGAGCUCGUAGGCGGUGUGUCGCGUCGGCCGUGAAAACCUGCAGCUUAACUGUGGCUUGCGGUCGAUACGGGCAUCACUGGAGUUCGGCAGGGGAGACUGGAAUUCCUGGUGUAGCGGUGAAAUGCGCAGAUAUCAGGAGGAACACCGGUGGCGAAGGCGGGUCUCUGGGCCUUACCUGACGCUGGAG
rnacentral:rRNA from 1 species